GUUGUCGCAGUGGGAUUCCCUGGGGGUAAGUGCCCUGCCCCUGUGCCCGUGCCCUGAGCCCUGCCUGGGUCCUAGGCCACCCACUGACACUGCCCCCCACACAGCUGGGAAGUCCACCUUUCUCAAGAAGCACCUCGUGUCUGCCGGAUAUGUCCAUGUGAACAGGGACACGCUAGGCUCCUGGCAGCGCUGUGUGACCACGUGUGAGACAGCCCUGAAGCAAGGGAAACGGGUCGCCAUUGACAACACCAACCCGGACGCCGCGAGCCGCGGCAGGUAGCGGGGCAGGUAGCGGGGCCGCGGGGCCGUAGGGGGCCUGGGGUGGUGUGGGCGGGGCCUGCACAUCCAGCUCCUUCCACCACAGGUACGUCCAGUGUGCCCGAGCCGCGGGUGUCCCCUGCCGCUGCUUCCUCUUCACCGCCACUCUGGAGCAGGCGCGCCACAACAACCGGGUGAGCCUGCUCAGCCCGGACACCCCCCGGGCUGCACCCCGACCCCCUCCUUGCCCCCAGGUACCCCCACCGCGUCCCCUGACCCCUGGGCCUGCCGCCCCCUCUGAUGUCCCCACAGUUUCGAGAGAUGACGGACUCCUCUCAUGUCCCCGUGUCAGACAUGGUCAUGUAUGGCUACAGGUACUGUUGGGGAUACCAGGGGGCAGGGCACUGGCUGGGCCACGAGCCAGACUGUCCCUCACUGUUCCCACCACUGCCAGGAAGCAGUUCGAGGCCCCAACGCUGGCCGAAGGCUUCUCUGCCAUCCUGGAGAUCCCGUUCCGGCUAUGGGUGGAGCCGAGGCUGGGGCGGCUGUACCGCCAGUUCUCCGAGGGCUGAGCCCCGCCCAGCUCCCCUCCACAAUAAAUGCUGUUUCUCUUUGA
rnacentral:sRNA from 1 species